rnacentral:rRNA from 1 species
AGGAGGUUUGAUCCUGGCUCAGGACGAACGCUGGCGGCGUGCUUAACACAUGCAAGUGGUGCGACGAACCAGGGCUUGCCCUGGGGCUAAGCCGCGAACGGGUGAGUAACACGUGAGUAAUCUGCCCCGAUGACCGGGACAACCCGAGGAAACUCGGGCUAAUACCGGAUGUGGUGCACAGGUUUAAGCUUGUGUACUAAAGGAAGCUUCGGCCUCCGCAUUGGGAGGAGCUCGCGGCCAUUAGCUUGUUGGUGGGGUAACGGCUACCAAGGCAACGAUGGGUAGCUGGUCUGAGAGGACGAUCAGCCACACUGGGACUGAGACACGGCCCAGACUCCUACGGGAGGCAGCAGUGGGGAAUCUUGCGCAAUGCGCGAAAGCGUGACGCAGCAACGCCGCGUGGGGGAAGACGGCCUUCGGGUUGUAAACCCCUUUCAGGAGGGACGAAGGUUCACCGGUGAAUAGCCGUGUGGAUUGACGGUACCUCCACAAGAAGCUCCGGCUAACUACGUGCCAGCAGCCGCGGUAAUACGUAGGGAGCAAGCGUUGUCCGGAAUCAUUGGGCGUAAAGCGCGCGUAGGUGGCUCUAUAAGUCCGUUGUGAAAGUCCAAAGGCUCAAC